CAAAACAAAAAGGCAACAGCCUGUGCAAGGUGAACUACCUUGUGCUCCCAUUAUGAGUAAGCACUACCCUCCAACUUUGGAAACCUGGAGAUACUACCACAGCAGAAGAAACAGGUACUGUCAGGACUCAUUUCCUGAAGCUUAUAAAUAUCCAUGCUCAUGAUUCCCAGGAGCUAUCCUUUUGCUUGAGAACAGCUGAAGGUUUUGCACUGACUGAACCAGCUCUGCAGGCUCUAACCUUUUCCAUCAACAGAACCAGAAAGGAACAAUAGCAAGCUGAGCUAUGGAUACAAAGCCAAGGACACCAUAUGGUGUUUUUGUUACACACAAGGGGAAAGAUUGCCUUAAAGAUCAAAGGUUGCAUUCAUCCUUGGUGUAAGACUGUUAAAUUCAGCAGUGUUAGAUCAAGCACAAAGUCAACAGCAAACAAAUUCUAUGUGAUGGGGAACAGGAGUCAAGUUUGGGGUUUUUUUAAUAGCUCAAGGAUGUCUGUAAGGUAAACUCAGUUGAGCCAAGUUUAUUUUUUCUGUGUCUAACUGACAUCUGUUCUCAGAAAGCCUGCAGCACACUGUUUCCCAACCUUUUUCCACUCUAUAACCACCAUGUACUUCUGUGACAGCCAGAGAUGGUGAAAAUGACCCAGCAGAUAUUAUGCUAAAAUAUCCUGACACUGCUUUAGUGAUUCUGCAUUCAAGAAAGAAAUACGCAAGAAAACUUUCCAACAACCUGUUGUGAAUUUUUGUUGAAAUUUAUUGACAUUAACAGCAGAUGAAUUUUAGCCAUUGUUAUCACCAUGCCUGGUAAAGAAAUUACACUGGAGACAAUACACUGUGAGCUAGCCAAGCUACUGACAGUCUAAGCCCCUCUUUUACAUUUUCACACCAUUUGAUGUGCAGAUCAAUUAAAGGGCUUAUUUCAAGUCAUCUUCAAAUAGCACAGCAGCUAUAACACACAGAACCCCCAUAAUGCCGACAUUCAGCAAAGUGCACAUUGGUACACUUUUAUCUUUACAGCAUGUUAUCUCCUUUUUACAGGGAGACGUUACCAGAAUGAAUUGGUUGAAAUGUAAAAAGUAAAUGAGGAACCUGGCUUUUAAACUUCAUGAGCUAUUAAAUAGAUGGGGAAAAAAAUUGGUUGUUAACAUGAGUCAGGUUGUCUAACCUGUCUACUGCUGUGGGUUAACUUUGCAAUAACACCUGAGAGAGAGUUUAGAGGAUAUUCUUGAAGCCUGGGAUAAUGGCUGGAGAAGCUGUACUCAAGGUAAUGUAAAUCAUCACUUAUACAACAGAAGACAAUUAAGUUAAACAGUUUAAAUCCAAAAGAAAUAUAACCGGAAUCAGAUCAAAUAUAUAUUUUGUUUCAUAUAGCAGAAGAUGUUGCAUAGAUAUUUUAGAAGUGAAUUUAAGGGGGAAAGUGAGAAGAAAAUUAAUGUUGCUAAGCCUUCUACUAUAUCAGUGAAUGAUAAGACCCAUCUGCAGAAUCAAUUUUUUAUUGACAGAUCAAAGACAGCUGAGAUGCAGGUUUAAAGAAGUAUAGUUCUCCUGGGAUUCUGAUUGUUUUGAAGCAGCAGAGUGAGUACACAAAGCUGAGAGCUGAGUUUACAAAAGGGUCACUCUCAUGGGCUCCCGUUAGAGACUAAAACCAAUCCUGGUGGAUAUAAAUUAUUCAUGCCUUAUCUAUGUUACUGAUUCUGGCCUGAACUAAGUGUAACCAGAAAGGUAGGACUGACUGAGAACAGAAAGGGGAUCCCCUGAAGAUGCAGUCUGGUAGAGCAGGACAUGCUGCUAGUGUAAGGAGUGAGGCCAAAGGAUGCAAGCAGGAAGAGAGUUCAUAUAGAACCUAUAAUGACCUGGUAUUUUGCUGGGAAAAGGAAGAGAAGCUCAAAGCAUUUUAGCUGUUAGGGGUUACUUUGCAACUUCCAGGCAUCUCUUAUAUUCAGCUUCCAGCUGACCACCCAUGGCAACAAGCAACCAGCAGAGCUGCCUGUCUCUGAAGCUAGCAAUCUCUAACAACCCUCUCUCUUGCCAAAUGAAAAAUCAGAAUUGAUAGUCCUUCUAUAUGUUGCUUCACCCUCUGGAGCUCCAUUGCUCCCAUCUGCCACUGUAGAAGUCCUAGGUUGCACACAGCCCUUUACCCUUUUCCUGGAGCUGCUUUUUUUUUCUCACAGGCUCUCUUCCAAAAUGUGGCUGUGGCUCCCAGUACUGGAACUGCUUGACUGGUAUCCACAGUCCACCUUUGUCAACUGCACCAUUCACUCAAAGAAAAUAUGAAGCAUCCCCUUUUAGUGGGUUGACCUUGCCUGGAUGCCAGGUGCCCACUCAGCUGUUCUAUCACUCCCCUUUCCAGCCAUAAAGGGGAGAGAAAAUAAGAUGAAAAAUGACUCAUGGGUUGGGAUAAGGCAGUUUACUAUGGCAAAAGCAAAGCAAAAUCUUGUGCAUGCAAAAGCAAAGCAAAAAGUGACAAGGUUUGUUCUCUACUUCCCAUGAGCAGUGAUGGCCAGCCACCUCCUUCAGCACUGUGUAAUGGUUUCUUAGCAGGCAGCCACUGGGAACAACAAAUGCCUCCCUUCCUACUUCUUUCCUUAGCUUUUAUAUCUGAGCUGGUGCCAUAUGGUAUGGAAUAUCCCUUUGGUUAGUCUGGGUCAGCUGGCCUACUUGGGUCACCUCCCUCUUGAUCUUGCCCUCAACUGGGGAAGGAACGUUACAGUGCUGAUGUUGUGCUCAACAGCAGCCAAAACACUGGUGUGUUAUCAACACCCUUCUAGCUACCAAUGCAAAGCACAGCACUGUGAGAGCCGCUGUGGGGAACUAAACUCCCCCUCCUCAUAGAUUUCUUAAGUCUUUAGCAGUUGUGCAUCAGGAAACACCUGUGAGCUGCAGGACCCAGGUGGCCCAUGCCAUAUUGCUAAUUGAGACUGUUGCAGCAGGCUUGUGCUGACAGCAUUGGUAUCUGUUUGCAGGCUGUUUCCCUGGGCAGCAGUUGUAGCAAUAAGUCCGUAUUUUGUUUCAUCCUAGGUCAAGUGAUUUUUAUCAGACUGACAUCUCAUGCACUUUGCUCAAGUCCUCUUUUGUCAGAUACACUAUGAGUGUAUCUGCAACUAGAAACUCUUCCAGCCUUACAUUCAGAUUGCAGACUGUAUGUUUGCAGCUGAAAUAUUAUUAUUGAAAGGUAAUGAAUACACUUGACAGGUGCCUAAAGGCACUACGAAUAAAGAUGUUAGAUUUCUUUCACUCUCAAGGACUUAGUUAACCCUCCUCUUUUGUCUGAGCUCAUUAACACUGCUUCUCUUGAACCUCUAACACAUAAGACUGCAGGAAACAAGGUCAGACAUAUCAGAGGUAGCUCUCUUCACUGGAGUCUAUCUGUUUUCCUUUCCGUAUUUAUUUUCCUCCUUAAUAUGUUAUUUUCCUCUAGGAAAUUUAUAUUUUUGUCUGCCUAGCUUUACUUUUGAAUAUUUUCCAAAGUUUUGGUGUUUCAGUUGUGUUCUUCUCUUUUUCCUCCCAUUACUAUGUUUUCUAUAUAUUCUUUACAUCAUAAAGAUGUUAGAGUUGCUGAUAAAUCAUCACAGGUAUACAACAUAACCUAGAUGGUACUCUUGAGGAAGUGUCUCUAAACAGGAGAGCUGAGAGCAGUGGGGAACAAGGAAAUUAAGCAAAGGGUUUGGGAUUCCUGAUCAAAUAAAAAAGUAUAUUCUGCUUUCUUGAUGGCAUCUGCUGAGACAUAAAAAGAAGAGAAAAAUGUAGAAAAACUCCAUGCAGACACAGACACAAAACCAUUACAUUUCAAAGGAAAGGUUUUCAUAGCCUAUAAGGAGGAGAGGGAGGAAAUUAUUCAAGAAAUAUUCUGUGUAUUCUUUAAUCUGUGCAGCCACCUAACUCCUCUUUUCCCCUCUCUUUUUCUUUUGUCUUACUGUAACCCAGUGACACAAUGCACAACACUAAAGAUCAUGACUAGGGAUCCACUCAACUCUCCUGUGAAUGUAUCACUAAUAAUUUAGAAACACUUUUUCUAUCUUAGUUGCCUUGGCAUCUAUGCAGACCAGAGGCUCUAGCUACCAGCAGCUUGUUUUGAUGACUGAGCAUGCACUGAAAUUAAUAAACAGAAUUGUUCCUAGGAAACUCUCAUAAAUCUUUAAGGCUGUGGUACAGCUAGCUUAACCCCAUAAAAUAGCUGGAAGUUUCCUAGGUCAAGCAAGGGCUGCAUCUGCAUUUCAUCAGCAUUUGUCACAGCAUCUCAAAAUUUCUCUUCAUGAAAACUUUUCCAGGAAAACUUUGCUAUGGCAGA